rnacentral:rRNA from 1 species
AUUGAACGCUGGCGGCAGGCCUAACACAUGCAAGUCGAGCGGAUGAAGGGAGCUUGCUCCUGGAUUCAGCUGCGGACGGGUGAGUAAUUCCUAGGAAUCUGCCUUGUCUUGGGGGAUAACGUCCGUAAACGGGCGCUAAUACCGCAUACGUCCUUAUUUAGAAAGUGGUGGAUCUUCGGACCUCACGCUAUCAGCUGAGCCUAGGUCGGAUUAGCUAGUUGGUGUGGUAAAGGCCUACCAAGGCGACGAUCCGUAACUGGUCUGAGAGGAUGAUCAGUCACACUGGAACUGAGACACGGUCCAGACUCCUACGGGAGGCAGCAGUAGGGAAUAUUGGACAAUGGGCGAAAGCCUGAUCCAGCAACGCCGCGUGUGUGAAGAAGGUCUUCGGAUUGUAAAGCACUUUAAGUUGGGAGGAAGGGAAGUAAGUUAAUACCUGGCUGUUUUGACGUUACCAAAAGAAUAAGCAACGGCUAACUUCGUG